UCCUACGGGAGGCAGCAGUCGGGAAUUUUGGGCAAUGGGCGAAAGCCUGACCCAGCAACGCCGCGUGAAGGAUGAAAUCCCUCGGGAUGUAAACUUCGCAAGAACGGGAAGAAUAAGCCGAUGUUAACACCAUCGGUGAUGACGGUACUGUUUGUAAGCUCCGGCUAACUCCGUGCCAGCAGCCGCGGUAAUACGGGGGGAGCAAGCGUUGUUCGGAUUUACUGGGCGUAAAGGGCGCGUAGGCGGCCUCUGCAAGUCGACUGUGAAAUCUCCGGGCUUAACCCGGAAAGGUCAGCCGAUACUGCAGGGCUAGAGUGCAGAAGGGGCAACUGGAAUUCUCGGUGUAGCGGUGAAAUGCGUAGAUAUCGAGAGGAACACCUGCGGCGAAGGCGGGUUGCUGGGCUGACACUGACGCUGAGGCGCGAAAGCUAGGGGAGCGAACGGGAUUAGAUACCCCGGUAGUCCUAGCCUUAAACGAUGAAUGCUUGGUGUCUGGGGUUUUAUAGUCCCCGGGUGCCGUCGCUAACGCUUUAAGCAUUCCGCCU
rnacentral:rRNA from 1 species